rnacentral:rRNA from 1 species
UACGGAGGAUGCGAGCGUUAUCCGGGUUUAUUGGGUUUAAAGGGUGCGUAGGCGGAUCGUUAAGUCAGUGGUCAAAUUGAGGGGCUCAACCCCUUCCCGCCAUUGAAACUGGCGAUCUUGAGUGGAAGAGAAGUAUGCGGAAUGCGUGGUGUAGCGGUGAAAUGCAUAGUUAUCACGCAGAACCCCGAUUGCGAAGGCAGCAUGCCGGCUUCCUACUGACGCUGAAGCACGAAAGCGUGGGGAUCGAACAGG